rnacentral:lncRNA from 1 species
UCUUAUACGCCUACCAAACGAAAACUUCAGGCUUUAUUAAUGGAGUCCUCCCAAGCUAAUAGCGCUGUGAAGCAGACACAUGACUAGAAACCAUAGUCAUCCAACCACACACAUUUAAAAUCAACAAGAGUAUUUAUUAAAGAGAGACCUAACUUUACUCAAGCUUUGUAACACACCUCCCCAUCACAUUUCCAUCCUUCUCCGGGACUUGCCUUCUCCAUCUCAUCGUCUUUGGUUCCUUUGUCUUCUUCCAGUGCGCACUUGGGGUGGAGAUCGAAAUCACAUUCUUCACAAUAGAAUGACCACAAGUGUCCCUGCUUCUCACACCCAUUACAUCCAUAAACGCGACGCUUAGUGAGCACAAGCUCAUGCUCUUCAUGAAGGGCAUGUUUCAUCUUCUCAGGCCACCCCUUUGCCAUCUCCUCAUACUGCGCCUCGAUCUCCUUUAUAUGUUCUUCAGUGAAAGGAUAAGCAUCAGCCCCAUGAAUCAUAACAAGAUUUCUGGCUUCUGUUGUGACAGUCCGGCCAGUUGGCCCAAUGGCUAUGAGCGAGGGGAUGCCAUGGACCUUGAACGUGCGACUCAGGGAGGCCUUCCUUUUAUCCCCAAACGGAAGUGCCAGCCAUGGCAUACCUGAAAAGAAUUCAUCGAAGGAGGUCUGGUCCUUGUCACUAGAGAUGAAAAUCACUUCGAAUGCUUCAUCCUUUGUCUUAAUCUUCUGGUAUGCUUCAAUAAGUUUUGGUAGAAAAGCACGGCAUGGGGGGCACCAAUGUGCUGAGAAUAUAGGAGAUGUUCUUCCCCACUAGAUCAGACACGGGAAUCUGAANNNNNNNNNNNNNNNNNNNNNNNNNNNNNNNNNNNNNNNNNNNNNNNNNNNNNNNNNNNNNNNNNNNNNNNNNNNNNNNNNNNNNNNNNNNNNNNNNNNNUACCUGCGAGGAUUUGAGAUUGGAGAGUAGCAGAGGAAAAUAGGGCUUUUUAGGGAUUCUCUCGCUGGAAGACACCUUCAGAAAAGGGUUCUUGAUGCCCGAGAGAGAAGUGGGUGCCUUUUUUAUUUUUUUUUAUUUUUAGAUUUAGGGGAGAUAAAAAAAUAAAAAAUAAAAAAUAAAAAAAACAUGAGAACAAUUUUCUAUAAAUAAUUAUUAAUUUUCAACUUUUAUUUGGAUUAUUAAAUAAAUUUAUAUUAAUAAAAAAAGUUGUUAUCACAUUUUUUAAUAAAUUUUAAAAAUUAAAUCUCAAAUAAGAUAUUUUAUAUAAAUUAAUUUAAUUUAUCAUUUAAAAUAUAAUAAAAUAUAUAAAAAAAUCAUGAGAACAAUUUUCCACUCUCUAUAUAAAUAAUUAUUAAUUAUCAACCUUUAUUUUUAUUAUUAAAUAAAUUAAUAUUAAUAGAAAAAGUUAUUAUCACAUAUUUUUAAUAAAAUUUUAAAAAUUAAAUCUCAAAUAAGAUAUUUUAUAUAAAUUAAUUUAAUUUUUCAUUUAAAAUAUAAUAAAAUAUAUUUUAAUAAAAAUAUUUUAAAAAUUUUAAAAUAAAUACUGUCUUCAACAAGAUGAACUCCCUUCAUCUAAUAAUAUAUUGAAACUACAUCGAUAUCUUUCUUAGUAUAAAGACUAUUGCAAUCUCAUAUUUCUUAACUCAAUUUUAACUUUAUACACUUUCAAAAUUCAUAUAUAUUAUUUUUAAAAUUCAAAUAUCGAAUCUACCAAUAUAUCUCUAUUUACGAUAUUUUUCCUCUUAAUUAUAUAUAUAUCAAUUACACUUACAAGAUAACUUUAAAAUGUGUAUUCUUACUUAUGUUAUCAUUUUUUGAAGUUUUUUCAAACAUUCAUAUUAAUUUUAAAUAAUUUUCACUCCACCGAUAUUUAUGAAAAAAUAUCCACCGAUAUUUCUCCGAUAUUUCCGAUAUAUCCGUAAAAUUGAAGUACCGAUAUAUCUGUAAAAACCGAUAUUUCAAUCCUUGAUCAAGAGAAACAAUAUUUCAAACCCAAUCUAAUAAGUCCAAACAAAUAACAAUUUAACAAUAGACCCAAAUCCAAAUAAACAAUAUGCAAUUGAUAUAAUCUAAAUAUUCUCAAAUUAAUCACCAAAUACAAUAUGCCCAUAAACCCAAAUUAACAAAUUUUAAAUUAAUUCACUAACAAUAAAUUAAAUCAAAUUAUGUAUUAAUCUACCAACAACAAAUUAACUCAAAAUUUCAUAAUAAUUGAAUAAUCCAAAUUUCAUAAACAACAAUUACUACUAAAAUAAAAUAAAAUAACAACAAUAACAAUAAUAAUAAUAACAAUAAUAAUAAUAACAACGAGAACGGAUGAGAUGGGAAGGGGGUUGCCGGCCGCCAGUGGAGCGAGAGAAAAAAUGGAGAAAAAAAAAGAGGGAAGGAGAAAAGGAAAUGGGAGGCUCGGCCACCUAAAAAAUGGAAAAGAAAAGAAAAAAAACAAAAUCCAAAGGGAGAAAUGAGAAGAGAGAGAAGAUAGAAGAUAUGAAAGCGUGGGUGUGUGGCCGGCUUGGAAGGGAAGUGGAGUGUGGGGAGAGAGAAGGAAAAAAAAAAAAUCCAUGGGCCAUGUGUGUCUUCGGGUGGAGAAAAGAGAGUAGAAGAAUGAGGGGCCGAAGAAUGGAGGUGGGGGCGGCAGAGAAAAGGGUGGAAAAUAGGAAAAAAGAGAGAGAAAAGAGGAGAAAAAACGACAGAGGAAAAAGGAAAGAGAAGAGAGGAGGAAAAUCUUGGGACAAAAUGAUGGGGGGAAAAGAAAGUGGGGGGAAGAAUGGGAAGAGAGGAGGGCCGAAGAAUGGAGGUGGGGACGGCAGAGAAAAGGGUGGAAAAUAGGAAAAAGGAGAGAGAAAAGAGGAGAAAAAGCGGCAGAGGAAAAAGGAAAGAGAAGAGAGGAGGAAAGUCUUGGGACAAAAUGAUGGGGGGAAAGAAUGGGAAGAGAGGAAAAUCUUGGGACAAAUGAUGGGGGGAAAGGAAAGUUGGUGGGUGGGGAGGUGAAAGAAUGGGAAGAGAGAGAAGAAGAAGGUGGGGUGGUUGGGAAAGAGAGAGGAGAGAGGAGAGAGAAAAGAAAAAAAAUAAAAAAUAAAAAAAUAAUAAAAUAAUAGUAAUAAUAAUAAUAAAAUAAAAGUAUUAAUAAUAAAAUAAAAUAAAAUGAUAUACAAAAUAAUAAAAUUUAUUAAAUGGUGAGUGAGCCAAGGGCUCAAAAUUAACGUAAAGAUAAAAUUCGGAUAAAUUUUGGGGUUUAUACAUGUAUUCAUCUUCCAACAACCAAAUCUUUCAUUUUUUUUUUUCAAAAAAAAAAAAAAAAUUAAAGUUUUAGGGUUAAAUCACCUUACCUUAAAUCCAAAAAUCUAACCAUUGAAACUAAAAUAUGAUUUUGUAGGAAUGUUCAUCGUGUUGAAUAGAAUAUUCUUAUAAAAUUUGAGGCAAAACGAAGAUCGUUUGAUAGGUUGACUAACGUACCUAAGUUGAUAGCCCUUUUUCUUCCGCUCCUAGUUGACCUUUUCUUUCUUUCUUUUAUUAUUUCAACCGACUACUUCAUUUUAUAUAUAUAUAUAUAUAUAUAUAUAUAUUAAUACAACUUUAAAAUACCAUGCUUAUCUCUUUUAAUAAAUUAAACCAUUAUCCUUUAUUUCAUAUUCCACAAUUAUAAAUUAUACUUCAUUUAUGAUUUUUUGUCUUAUAAAAAAUAUUAUUGUAUUCUUAAUUAAAUUUGCUACAAACUUGAUUUUCAAAAUAUAUAAUUUGACUUUAAUUAUCUAAAAUAUUUUGACUUUAAAAUUCACUUAGGACAUGAUUCUAUUGACUAUUAAAAAAAUCAAUUUCAUAAAAUCUCUUAAACAUAAAAUAAUUUUUCGACAUACAAUAAGUUGAAAUUCAUAAUAAUAUUUAACCCCUUGAUUUUAUCAAUAUUUAUUUAUCAACAAAAAUUUAAGCAUUAUUCUAAAACUUAGUUCUAUCAAUUAUUUAGUCAUUCAAUUCAUAAUAAUUAAAUUAAUUCUCAUAAUAUGCUUAAUAUUCAAAUUGUCAAAAUCUAAUCUCAAUUAUUUGAUGAUCAAUUUUUUUUUCAAAUUUAAAUUUAAUUUAUAAAAGUCUUACUUUUUACAUAUGACGUGGUAGAAUUUUCAAACUAUUAAUUUUUCUAAAAUAUCUCAUAAUUAAUAUUAACAUCGUGGAUCUUAACUAUUUUUUUUAACCAUUUGACUAACAAUUUUAUAAAAACUUUUCUAAUCCUGAAUCUUAGUGUCAUUAAAAACCUGGGUAUUACAAAACUAGAGAUCACCUCUGCAUCUGGCACUAGUGGUGCUCCACCCCAUUACAAAUGGCAACUCUCAUCACAUCACAAAUGAUUAAUUAUCAUCAAAGAUUAAGGACCUAUAGUAACAUAGUCUUAUACACCUGCCAAAGAAAACUUCAGGCUUUAUUAACGGAGUCCUCUCAAACUCAUUGUGCUAUUAAGCAAACACACAUGGCUAGAAACCAUAGUCAUCCAACCACACACAUUUAAAAUCAACAAGAGUAUUUAUUAAAGAGAGACCUAACUUUACUCAAGCUUUGUAACACACCUCCCCAUCACAUUUCCAUCCUUCUCCGGGACUUGCCUUCUCCAUCUCAUCGUCUUUGCUUCCUUUGUCUUCUUCCAGUGCGCACUUGGGGUGGAGAUCGAAAUCACAUUCUUCACAAUAGAAUGACCACAAGUGUCCCUGCUUCUCACACCCAUUAC